UGAAACCCAGCCCGUACGCAGUUGCAGCGACCUAACCCCUUUCCCUGACCCCCAAGCGCGGUGGCGGCGGCCAGAUCCCUCAACCAAGUUAGCCAAGUACGCGGGGCGGAGGUGAUGUUCCACCUUUCCGAUGGCUCUUGCCAGUUGUGUCGCCAGCGGCUCUGUUUGAGGCCGAGCAGAUCUGAUCUCGUGGAGUAUUAAGAUCCGCGUCGCAGUAUGCUCAUCGUUGCCUCCCGAUCUCAGGCUCCGGCAGCGGCUGGUUAGUCGUUUCCUGUCAAUCUCAGUACCUAGGAUCAUCUCGCAUCCUCCUCCACCUCAUCGGCUGCAAGCCGGAGGUGGGCUCCUCGUCUCCUUCCCAACCGGCCUGUGUGACGUGGUGCAAACAUACAAGGCGUCACCACGGUGAUUAAUUCUUCUGGACAACAAGCUCGACGAACAAGAAGCACUGUAUCUGGAGGCAACUGUUGUGUGCCGUCAAGAUAGCACCGUUCAUGCAGUUCUUAAUGGCAAUGCUUGUUGAGCGAUGAUUAUUAUAGUCCUUCAGACUUACCCUUGCCCGUCAUGUACCAAAGUUGAUGCAGUUUUCGCUAGCAAUACUUGAUCCUGUGAUAUGAGUGUCUUUUGUGUUAUGCCUGGGAUGUUACAGUUUGACAUGUACUAAAAAAUGCGGCGCUGAUAGUCCAGUUUGACAUGCACUCAAGUAUUUGUUUCUGGAAUGGUUCAUUUUAACAUUUAUGCUA